rnacentral:rRNA from 1 species
CCCUUAGAUGUUCUGGGCCGCACGCGUGCUACACUGAGUGGAUCAGCGGGUCAGGUUGCGCGAAAGUGUUUCCUAAUCUUGAAAUCCGCUCGUGAUGGGGAUUGACGGUUGCAAUUUUCCGUCAUGAACGAGGAAUACCUUGUAAGCGCGGGUCAUCAUCCCGCGCUGAAUACGUCCAUGCCCUUUGUACACACCGCCCGUCGCUCCUACCGAUUGAGUGGUCCGGUGAGGCUUUGGGAUCUGAGCAAAGAGAGCGUUUCGCUCGUUUUGCCCGGAAAACUCAGUCGAACCUUAUCAUUUAGAGGAAGGAGAAGUCGUAACA